GACGCAGGGAGAUAUUGACACACUCACUCUUUUUAAUUUCCCACAUCAAAGGGCCGUUUGAAGACACAGCUGGGGAGAGAAGAAAAGAAAGAGUGAGCAAAGUAUUGAGCAGGGAGGUGUUGGUGAAGAAGAAGAGGUAGCCGAAGGUUUGGGAGGUGAGAGGUGGGGACAGACACGCCUCCCGCGACAGCAUCAGAGAACAGCGA